CCUACGGGAGGCAGCAGUGGGGAAUAUUGGGCAAUGGGCGAAAGCCUGACCCAGCAACGCCGCGUGAAGGAAGAAGGCUUUCGGGUUGUAAACUUCUUUUGACAGGGAAGAGCAGAAGACGGUACCUGUCGAAUAAGCCACGGCUAACUACGUGCCAGCAGCCGCGGUAAUACGUAGGGGGCAAGCGUUAUCCGGAUUUACUGGGUGUAAAGGGAGCGUAGACGGUUGUGCAAGUCUGAAGUGAAAGCCCGCGGCUCAACUGCGGAACGGCUUUGGAAACUGUGUAACUGGAGUGCUGGAGAGGUAAGCGGAAUUCCUGGUGUAGCGGUGAAAUGCGUAGAGAUCAGGAGGAACACCGGCGGCGAAGGCGGCUUACUGGACAGUAACUGACGUUGAGGCUCGAAAGCGUGGGGAGCAAACAGGAUUAGAUACCCUUGUAGUC
rnacentral:rRNA from 1 species